UUCCGAUGGCCAACGCAUCAGAGUGAGAAUUACGUUGAUUUAUAUCGGCUACAUAAUUACUCACUAAGAGAUCAUUUUAUUUUAAUUCUUUCUGCUCACAAAUUAACGGAGUGGCUAUCAUUUUUAUUUCAAAAGUAUUCGAAUGGUUUUGCUAAAUUGAUGUCAUGUUAUCUCUGAUCAUAUGCCCAAGCAUUCCAAAGUUUUUCAGUCAUAAUUUUUUCUUGAAAAGUAAAUUUUCCGUUCAUAGCAAUUAUGUGUCUGCGAGUAAUGGGAUUUGCCCCCAUUUGCAUAAAGAUUGCUCUUGUAUCGGUUUUGGCCGUUAUCGGAUGUUUGGAGGUAACAGGUUUGAUCGUCUACUUCACUGUAUUCCAUGAAUCUGAGACGACAAAGGAUGAUACCACCACUCAACUACCACUAAUAUAACCACUACGACAGACUGCGCAACAUGGUCUGUUUUGUGAUUAAGAUGGUUAGUCAUUCUAUGUAGGAGCUUGGCCGAAAGCUCCUGCGCCUCUAAAAACGGAAGUCAGGCGAAGAACCAAAUAAAUUGAUUCUUGAGCAAUCGAUUCGAUAUCGGCAAAGAUAUCCCAUGAAUCAGCCCCUAUAUCGAAUCGGUUGCUCAAAAAAAAGUAUAGUGUCAA